ACCUAAAAAAAUACACACCCACAAUCACACUCUGGAGGCCAGAGCAGUGACCAGCCAGCACCCUUAACUUCCCAGCGCACUUGGAAACCAGGAUCAAAGGAGCCCCUGCACUUGCAGUAAAACCGCUAGAAGACAGGCAUCACUGGGUCAUUUCACAGCCAUCGAAAGGAAGUGAGAGGUAAGGUGAUGGGUCCAAUAUGACCCAGCUGGUGACAGCAGCACCUGUGACAUCUGGCCUCACUACUGCCUGAGCGCAAAUACUCGGGACAUUAUCUCAAGCGUGGGGGAGGUGUGAAAGGAAGACUGCACAGGUGGAAGUUCAGGAAGAAGCCCUUCUGGUGAAGAGCUGCCCUAGGUCCACAGCCCCCACCUCACCAUUUGGGAUUCCCUCUGCAGCCGGAAGCUGGUACGCGGGGUCCUGCAUGGCCCUCAAGGCCGCCUACAGGAUGGACAAGGCAAUGGUCAAGCUAAGCCACAGGUCCAUGGGGAAAGGGGCCCAGACUGGUUCCAAAGGUGCGGGCUGAUGUGCGGGAACAGGCAGCUAGCUGGCCAGGAACCAAACCUGGGCUGUAGAGAUCCUGUCCAGCACCUUCCAGGGGGACAGGCAGCUUUCCGUGCAGCGAGCGUGCUUGGAAGGAAAGGGCUCUACUGAACACGGACACGUGGCGCCACAUCCGACGGGCUCCUCAAUACCCACGAGCUCCUAGUCAGUCUUUGCAGAUGCAACUGAGACUGGAAUUUAUGUUAAGGACUCACCGAAGGCCUAGAGUCCAUUCCCUACAAGGUCUGGGGCCCGAUGCUGAGUCUGUCUUGAAAGGAAGCUUUGCCCACCCUUGUCGCUGAGGGCUCAGCUGUACUGCGUUCUCCAGGGCCUGUGGGCAGCGAUGCCCCUCACAGAGUCAGAGCGCAGGAGGCACCAGGAUGCCGGCUUUUCCCCAGAGACCUCAGGGUCCUCAAUCACACCGUUCCUGGCAUUCCUGACACCUGUGUCCACCCCCUGGAGGGGGACACACGGGGAGGCAGGCUGGUCCUGCCCGAGGCUGGAACACACCACCCUUUGGCCCGUGCCUCAGGGUCAAAUGGGGCCUACCUGUUGCUG